UGACUCGAGCCGAGCGCCGGGGGGGCGGGGUGCAGCGGCGCCGCGGGAGGAGCUGGGCGCGGAGCGCGGCCCCUUCCCUGCGGGCGCGCGGCCAGGUUACAGCCACGCUCAGGAGCCUCUUGGGAAAAGCCCAAAAGUCCCCAUUUUGCAGAAAGCCUGCUGGGAUGUGGUGGGACCCCGCGGCGAGAGAAACCCCGGGAGGCCUCGAAAGCCCUGGCUUCCAGGGCCCCACCCUGCCUGGGCAAGGCCUCCCGCGCUCCGGGGCCCGCACUUCCGGCCCCCGCGGGUUCCCUGACCUGCGCUACCGGGCACUUCCGCCGCCAGACACGUGGCCCCGGGGCCUGGAGGAGGCUGCUGGAAGGCCCGGCUCUAGCAGUUGGGGCCUUCACCUGUCCCCGUUAUUUCGUCGCAAGCCCCUGUGGGAAGUGGGCCUUCACCAGUUUCUGUACUUAGGAGGCAUGGCCUGCAACAAAUGUCGAAAGAAUUACUGAGUGAAUCUGCUGCCUCUUUGGGCAUAUGGUGAGGUUUCUCACUGGCCAGCACUAUGAAGGUUGAUGGCAUCAUCAUUCACUCCACAUCAAAGGAUAUCUACUCAUCAGUGUGCUGUUGUCAGUCAGAGGUUUCCAAAUAUGUGUUCCCCAACUCAAAGAAAAGUAGCUGGAUCCAGGCAGAAAGGUGUCUGGGAACUCCUUUACUGUGCAGGGUGUGUCUCCAGAGAAAGCUGCUUCAGCAUUCUUCUCGAUCUUUGUUUUCGGAAUACUUUUCCCUACAGUAUUCUCCAGACUCUAAAAUACUAGAAUAGUUCCCAAGUUCAUCCAGAUCUUUCCCAUGGUUGAAUUCUUGGUCCUUUUUCCACCCCCUGGCUUACAUGUAGAUGAAAAAUAAACAACAAUAAAGGAAUAAAAAUUGUUUGUUU
rnacentral:lncRNA from 1 species